GAUGAGUGUCGUAUAAUGGAUAAUUACACCAUCCUGUCACGGUGGUUAUGCAGGUUCGAGUCCUGCCCUCAUCA
rnacentral:tRNA from 1 species